rfam:Asian citrus Psyllid, Diaphorina citri - Florida Strain, whole genome shotgun sequence.
GCCAGCAGCGAUAGAACGGUGAGUGCAUCAGUUCCCAUUUCUCAAUAGAUCACUGAAGUUUAGCAACGAUGCGCGUGGUUGAUAUCCAGAUGGGUGACCAUCGGGGCAAUCACGUGUUGCUGCCU